UUGAUGCCGCGUGAGUGAAGAAGGCCUUUGGGUUGUAAAGCUCUUUUGUAGGGGAAGAUAAUGACUGUACCCUAAGAAUAAGGUCCGGCUAACUUCGUGCCAGCAGCCGCGGUAAUACGAAGGGACCUAGCGUAGUUCGGAAUUACUGGGCGUAAAGCGCGCGUAGGCCGUUGAGUUAGUUAAUUGUGAAAUUCCAAAGCUUAACUUUGGAACUGCAAUUAAAACUGCUCGACUAGAGUUUGAUAGAGGAAAGCGGAAUACAUAGUGUAGAGGUGAAAUUCGUAGAUAUUAUGUAGAACACCAGUUGCGAAGGCGGCUUUCUGGGUCAACACUGACGCUGAGGCGCGAAAGUAUGGGUAGCAAAGAGGAUUAGAUACCCUCGUAGUCCAUACCAUAAACGAUGAUUGCUAGAUGUUGGAAAUUUAUUUUCAGUAUCGCAGCUAACGCAUUAAGCAAUCCGCCUGGGGAGUACGACCGCAAGGUUAAAACUCAAAUGAAUUGACGGGGACCCGGACAAGCGGUGGAGCAUGUGGUUUAAUUCGAAGAUACGCGCAGAACCUUACCAACCUUGACAUGUCUGUCGCGAGUU
rnacentral:rRNA from 1 species